UGGGCAACCUGCCCCUAGCUCCGGAAUAACCCCAGGAAACCGAGGCUAAUACCGGAUACGACCCUGCGCGGCAUCGCGCGGGGUGGAAAGUUUUUCGGCUAGGGAUGGGCUCGCGGCCUAUCAGCUUGUUGGUGGGGUAAUGGCCUACCAAGGCGACGACGGGUAGCCGGCCUGAGAGGGCGACCGGCCACACUGGGACUGAGACACGGCCCAGACUCCUACGGGA
rnacentral:rRNA from 1 species